CAUGGCUCAGGACGAACGCUGGCGGCGUGCUUAACACAUGCAAGUCGAACGGAAAGGCCCUGCUUUUGUGGGGUGCUCGAGUGGCGAACGGGUGAGUAACACGUGAGUAACCUGCCCUUGACUUUGGGAUAACUUCAGGAAACUGGGGCUAAUACCGGAUAGGAGCUCCUGCUGCAUGGUGGGGGUUGGAAAGUUUCGGCGGUUGGGGAUGGACUCGCGGCUUAUCAGCUUGUUGGUGGGGUAGUGGCUUACCAAGGCUUUGACGGGUAGCCGGCCUGAGAGGGUGACCGGCCACAUUGGGACUGAGAUACGGCCCAGACUCCUACGGGAGGCAGCAGUGGGGAAUAUUGCACAAUGGGCGGAAGCCUGAUGCAGCAACGCCGCGUGCGGGAUGACGGCCUUCGGGUUGUAAACCGCUUUCGCCUGUGACGAAGCGUGAGUGACGGUAAUGGGUAAAGAAGCACCGGCUAACUACGUGCCAGCAGCCGCGGUGAUACGUAGGGUGCGAGCGUUGUCCGGAUUUAUUGGGCGUAAAGGGCUCGUAGGUGGUUGAUCGCGUCGGAAGUGUAAUCUUGGGGCUUAACCCUGAGCGUGCUU
rnacentral:rRNA from 1 species